rnacentral:rRNA from 1 species
AGAGUUUGAUCCUGGCUCAGAACGUACGCUGGCGGCACGCCUAACACAUGCAAGUCGAACGAAGUAGCAAUACUUAGUGGCAGACGGGUGAGUAACAUGUAGGUAUCUGCCCUUUGGCCUGGAAUAACACGAGGAAACUUGUGCUAAUACCGGAUAAGUCUUUACGGAGAAAGCUUUAUGCACCAUUGGAUGAGCCUGCACUUGAUUAGUUUGUUGGUGGGGUAAUGGCCUACCAAGACUGUGAUCAAUAGCUGAUUUGAGAGGAUGAUCAGCCACAUUGGGACUGAGACACGGCCCAAACUCCUACGGGAGGCAGCAGUGGGGAAUCUUGCACAAUGGAGGAAACUCUGAUGCAGCGAUGCCGCGUGAGUGAAGAAGGCCCUUGGGUUGUAAAGCUCUUUCGUCGGGGAAGAAAAUGACUGUACCCGAAUAAGAAGGUCCGGCUAACUUCGUGCCAGCAGCCGCGGUAAUACGAAGGGACCUAGCGUAGUUCGGAAUUACUGGGCUUAAAGAGUUCGUAGGUGGUUGAAAAAGUUGGUGGUGAAAUCCCAGAGCUUAACUCUGGAACUGCCAUCAAAACUUUUCAGCUAGAGUUUGAUAGAGGAAAGCAGAAUUUCUAGUGUAGAGGUGAAAUUCGUAGAUAUUAGAAAGAAUACCAAUUGCGAAGGCAGCUUUCUGGAUCAUUACUGACACUGAGGAACGAAAGCAUGGGUAGCGAAGAGGAUUAGAUACCCUCGUAGUCCAUGCCGUAAACGAUGUGUGUUAGACGUUGGAAAUUUAUUUUCAGUGUCGCAGCGAAAGCGAUAAACACACCGCCUGGGGAUACGACCGCAAGGUUAAACUCAAAUGAAUUGACGGGGACCCGCACAAGUAGUGGAGCAUGUGGUUUAAUUCGAAGAUACGCGCAGAACCUUACCAACACUUGACAUGUUCGUCGCGACUCUAAGAGAUUAGAGUUUUCGGUUCGGCCGGACGAAACACAGGUGCUGCAUGGCUGUCGUCAGCUCGUGUCGUGAGAUGUUGGGUUAAGUCCCGCAACGAGCGCAACCCUCACUUUUAGUUGCCAUCAUUAAGUUGGGCACUCUGAAAGAACUGCCAGUGAUAAGCUGGAGGAAGGUGGGGAUGACGUCAAGUCCUCAUGGCCCUUACGUGUUGGGCUACACACGUGCUACAAUGGUAUCUACAACAGGAAGCAAGACGGCGACGUCGAGCAAAUCCCUAAAAGAUACCUCAGUUCGGAUUGCACUCUGCAACUCGAGUGCAUGAAGCUGGAAUUACUAGUAAUCGUGGAUCAGCGUGCCACGGUGAAUGCGUUCCCGGGUCUUGUACACACCGCCCGUCACACCAUGGGAGUUGGUUCUACCUUAAGGCAAGGUUUUAAACCCUUGACCACGGUAUAGUCAGCGACUGGGGUGAAGUCGUAACAAGGUAACC